GCAAAAGUGUCAUAGUGGUUUGAGCACUGGACUAUAACUCUGGAGACCAGGGUUUGAAUCCCCGUUCAGCA